UGACUGUUUACCAAAAACAUAGCCCUAGAUAAAAUCUAAGGUGUAACCUGCCCAGUGACCUUAAUAUUAGAUAUGAACAAUCUUUAAUUAGGUUAAAAGGACGCGGUAACCUUGACCGUGGUAAUGUAGCAUAAUCACUCGCCAUUUAAUUGAUGGAUAGUAUGAAUGGUUGAACGAAUAUUUCACUGUCUUAGAAAAAAUUAAUAAAAAUUGAAAUAAUAGUUAAGAUGCUAUUUUACACUGUAAGACGAAAAGACCCUAUAGAGCUUAACUAUAGUCUUUUUCGAUAACCAAGGAAAUAAACCCUAAAUAGAGAAAGACAGGUAGUUUAGUUGGGGCGACUGCCUUCUAGAACAAACGAAGGUAAGCAACGUUAAUAAAUAACUUAUUGUUUAAUAAAUUGAUUUAACAAUUACUAGAGUAGGCUUCAGUGACCCGUUUUUACUAAGUAAUAAGGAAAACGAUCAAUAAAUAAAAGCUACCUUAGGGAUAACAGGAUAAUUUCAUUUUAGAGU
rnacentral:rRNA from 1 species